UGCGUAGGCGGCCUGACAAGUCAGAGGUGAAAGGCUACGGCUUAACCGUAGUAAGCCUUUGAAACUGACAGGCUUAAGUACAGGAGAGGAAAGUGGAAUUCCUAGUGUAGCGGUGAAAUGCGUAGAUAUUAGGAGGAACACCAGUGGCGAAGGCGACUUUCUGGACUGUAACUGACGCUGAGGCACGAAAGCGUGGGGAGCGAACAGGAUUAGAUACCCUGGUAGUCC
rnacentral:rRNA from 1 species